UAACAAACCAUUCACUCAGAAGAGUAAUCUGAAUACACAUCAAAACACACAUAGUGGAGAUGGUCCGUAUACUUGCGAAGUGUGUAAUAAAUUAUUCCGUAAUAGGAGUACUCUGAAGAGACAUGAAAGCAUACACAGUGGAGAGCGUCCCUAGUCAGGUUACAAGCAAGAUAUUUUUCUGUGAGAUUCUGAAUAAAUGUCUGAGUAUGCAUAUCUGGUGCGAGAAUAUGUUCUGGUAUUGGAGUAAUGCGUUAUCUGUUCACACAAAAGAGAAGAUAUAUUUGAAAAAGACGUAAAAAUGAAUGACUUUAUUCAGUUCAGUUGAUUUGAUAAAGAAUUAUUUUUCAUUUUAUAAAUAGGUAUUCAGUUACAUUUUGAUUAGAACCAGUGUUGAAUAGGACCCUCACCGUUUUGGAUUAUGGCUCGAAUUGAUCUUUUCCAGUGGUUGCCAGCUGUCAGAUAUUUUGUGAUAUAACAGUCCACACUUAAACAAUUGGUGUACAAGAAGAAGAGAACCAUUUCAGUAUCUGGUGUCAGGUUUAGAAGCAAAGAACUUGAAAAGCACAGAUCAUGAUCAUUCAUUGACCAAUGGUAGAGACAGUUUUAAAGCUGAAUCAAAGAGAAAAGGUUCCUGUUCAAUGUUGUUUCCAAUAAAAAUAUGACAAUGAUAAAUAAAAUACCUGAAUCCCCUGAGUGAACAUCAACUUUUGCAUAGUGAGGGCCGUCCAUAUUCCUGUGAUGUGUGCAAUAAAUCAUUCAGUAUAAAGGGGUACCUGAAGAGACAUCAGCGCAUACACAGUGGUGAGCGGCCUUAUUCCUGUGUUGUAUGCAAUAAAACAUUCAGUCAUAACUGGUGCCUGAAGAUUCAUCAACGCAUACACAGUGGUGAGCGGCCAUAUUCCUGUGACGUGUGCGAUAAAACAUUCAGUGUGAGCAGUUGCCUGAAGAUUCAUAAACGCAUACACAGUGGUGAGUGGCCUUAUUCCUGUGUAGUAUGCAAUAAAACAUUCAGUCGUAACUGGCGCCUGAAAAUUCAUAAACGCAUACACAGUGGUGAGCGUCC